rnacentral:lncRNA from 1 species
AUAGACCCUUUUUCAUAAAAAAUUAGAGAUGAAACUACCCAUGUUUUUAAUAAUUGUACUCCCAAUAUUACUAAGGUAAGGACAAGGGAAGAUUUAAAAAUCUUAUCACUUCCAUUAAUGAAAAAGCUCAAAAAAUGAAUCCCAUAGAAUGCCUAAGACAUAUGCGACUAUAACUUCAAUCAUUAAGCCUACUACUAUACCUAUAGAACCUACUAUUUCUUCUACUA